rnacentral:rRNA from 1 species
UACGGGGGGGGCAAGCGUUGUUCGGAAUUACUGGGCGUAAAGGGCUCGUAGGCGGCCAACUAAGUCAGACGUGAAAUCCCUCGGCUUAACCGGGGAACUGCAUCUGAUACUGGAUGGCUUGAGAUUGGGAGAGGGAUGCGGAAUUCCAGGUGUAGCGGUGAAAUGCGUAGAUAUCUGGAGGAACACCGGUGGCGAAGGCGGCAUCCUGGACCAACACUGACGCUGAGGAGCGAAAGCCAGGGGAGCAAACGGGG